CUUUAUUCAUACUUAAGAGAUCUUACAGAAGCAAAAGGAUAAAACAAAACAACAAUAUACAUUAACAAAGAAAGGGCAACACCAUUCAGAGAUAAUAAAAAUCAAUACUAGAAAAGCACUCAGAGAGUGCAGACCUCCGUCAAGUAGGUGAUAUUCCCUCCCCCUCUGCAUCAGAUUUUGCAGCCUGCAUCAUAAUUCGGUUAUUUGCAUCACUAUCAUCAUUGGGUUAUAUAUGCCUUCACCAUGGAGACACUGUGGUGUAUUUAUUUCGUUUUUAUUUUGUACCAACACAGAAUAUAAUAUGUUUUUUUGUAUUUUUCACUUUCUUUUAUUCCAACACAGAACAUUAAUUUCAACUUUAGAAUUACAAUAUUUAGCAAUAAGAAGACGACGUGCUUUCCGGCCACCAGAUGGCGCUAUUUUCACCGUCUUUAGAAAUUGGAAUCGCUGCUGAGGCUGUCAGAUGAUUGACUUUUUUAUUAUUUUAUCCACUUUGCUUCAACCGAUCACCACCAUCCUUGUCCCAUUAUCCACCUUUCCUGAAAAUUUCAUCAAAAUCCGUUCAUAACUUUUUCAGUUAUUUUGCAGGAAAAACAGACAAACAGACCAACGGCAGUGAAAACAUAACCUCCUUGGUGGAGGUAAUAAACUUUACAAUAGUGAAAAUAAUUUGAUAAAAUAGUAUAAUUAAAAUGUUAAAUAAAAUACAGCUGUGUAGAAAGCCACCAAAUUUUGCAAUUAGUAUAGAUCAUUUGACAGAUAACAAAAUACACAGGGGGUUGGUUGGCACAGUUUUCACUCUCAGCUAUAUUUCUCCGGCAUAAUUUAUGUUAUGAUAUUCUGAGCAGCAGCAAAUGACAGGUUUAACUCUCAGCCAUAAAUAAAUAUGUUUCCAUCCACGCAAAUGUUUCUAAACUUAGAUGAUUUCUGAUAAAGGUCAAGUUGUGCAUUUGUGCCAAUCAGCCACAUCAUGUUAAAAUGUUAUAGUUACAAUUAAAUGAAGCAAUUUGAGCUUUUGAUUGAAAAAAUGAACAUUUAAUCGAAAAUCUGUAAAUGUUUUAAACCAAAUUACAAUUUCAAGCACUUCAACCAUAGGAACUUCUGAUUAUUUUUGCCAUUGAUUUUUCAAAAUAACAAUAACAAAUUAACAAUGAUAACUUUAAAAAAGAAAAAAAUCUUUCAAAAAUCGAAUUUUACUUUCUCAUUGCCUGUGGUUACAUUACAUGUAAUUAAAUUACAAAAUAGUAAUCAGUUACAGUUUCUGUGGGGAAAAAAGUAACAAUAUUACAGUUACUGAUGAAAAUAUUGGUGAUUAUAAAGAGGUCACAUCUGAUUAUAUUAUUUUUGGUAAAAGGUUUAUAUGUAGAAUAAAACAUUUAUUCUGUUGCUUUGCAUUUUUUCAUCAUGCAUUUUGCAAAGUCUAUUUUUUACUUUUCAACUUUAUUAAACAGUUUAAAACACUUGUAAGAAAAGUAAUCAAAUGCAAUAAGUUACAUUAUUUUGAUGAGUUAAUUAGAAUAGUUACAUUAUUUAAUUAGUAAUGUCACCUGUUACAAUUUAAAUGUGACCCCCCCGACACUUUUUUACUUUGUACAUUUUUUUGUUUUUACUUUUUACUUUAUACAUAUCUAUACUUUAUUUACUGAAAUGUUAUCCUCACCAAAACGUCAGUGACUUUCAGACGUCUUAACAAAGUGCAGGUGAAGAAAGCAAACAUUGUGAGGUUACAUUUUUGUUUCUGUGACCUUUAUAGAACCAGAAAACAGCUGCGUGCCAACCAACCCCAGCCUCCCCUAUAAUGUAAUAUAAAAUAGAUUAAUGUUAAAACAGUAACACGGAGAGGUCGGGAGGUUUAAGAUCACAUUUCUAAAAUUUCUAAACGGUGUAAGUGAAUUAAUUUGAGGAGGUGCUGUAUUUUGUUCAAGUUAUCAAAAUGGCUGAAAAUGGUAAAUAAUUUAACUUUUUGCUUCUGCCCACUGUUUUUAUUUUAAAUAACAGCGUACGUGCAGUAAAAAUAAGAACUUAUGUGUCUUUUUUCUGCAAAGCCCAGCUGGGUGUAAUAAGGGUGUGGGCCAUAAUCGGGCCAGAGGCUAUCAGGUUAGGACCAGAUAAGAAAAGUUCACCCCGUGCUGUCUGGUCCACCCCAGAUGUCAUCACAGUAUGCUAAUGAGCCCGGGGGCCUUUAAGUGCCGCAGCCCAGCGUGCAGGGGCUCCAGACGUGGACACAUAGCAGUCAUUAAACAGGAACAGGUGACGGGUAGUGUCGGUGACCAACAACAGACGCCAAACCUAAUGCAAAAAGAUUACAAACACGGACAGCUCUGGCAGCUGUUAAGUCUUGUGCCCUGGACAGGAUAUCAUCUUAUACUGUAAGUUUAUUAAAGAGACACUACAGUAUAGAUGAUGUACUAUCCAGGGUUUCAUUCCCCCGCCGGCGCUAUCAGCAUGCACUCACGCCUAACUGACUGUGGUGGGCUGCACGCGCUUGCAGAGGAGGGCCGUCAAACCGUUACCAUUACUGAGUUUCAGUAAUGGUAAGGGUUAUAUGGCCCUUGCUCAAUGUCAUCUGCGCAGGAGGACGAAGGAAGCUGAUUGAUGUGUUGUACAUGAGGAUGUUUUUGAGAUGUACUUGUGCAUGUGAAAUAAAGCUCCUAAACAAAUAA